rnacentral:rRNA from 1 species
AGAGUUUGAUCAUGGCUCAGAACAAACGCUGGCGGUAUGCUUAACACAUGCAAGUCGUACGAGAAAGGUGCUUUCGGGUGCUGAGUAAAGUGGCGGACGGGUGAGUAACGCGUGAGCAAGCUACCCUGGAGAGGAGGAUAACAUUCCGAAAGGGGUGCUAAUACUCCAUGAAAUUAUUAUAUUGCAUGGUAUGAUAAUCAAAGGAGGGCCUAUCGGAGAAGCUCUUGCUCUGGGAUGUGUUCGCGUACCAUUGGCUAGUUGGUGGGGUAAAGGCUCACCAAGGCGAUGAUGGUUAGCCGACCUGAGAGGGUAUUCGGCCACACUGGGACUGAGAUACGGCCCAGACUCCUACGGGAGGCAGCAGUGGGGAAUAUUGCGCAAUGGGAGCAAUCCUGACGCAGCAAUACCGCGUGGACGAUGAAGGCCUUUGGGUUGUAAAGUCCUGUCAGGCGGGAAGAAGUGCUAUGUAUCGAACAGGUGCAUAGUUUGACGGUACCACCUGAGGAAGCUCCGGCUAACUCCGUGCCAGCAGCCGCGGUAAUACGGAGGGGGCGAGCGUUGUUCGGAAUUACUGGGCGUAAAGGGCGCGUAGGCGGUCUGGUAAGUUAGGUGUGAAAGACCUUGGCUCAACCAAGGAAUAGCAUUUAAAACUGCUGGGCUUGAGUAUAGGAGAGGAGAGUGGAAUUCCCAGUGUAGCGGUGAAAUGCGUAGAUAUUGGGAGGAACACCGGUGGCGAAGGCGGCUCUCUGGACUAAUACUGACGCUGAGGCGCGAAAGCCAGGGGAGCGAACGGGAUUAGAUACCCCGGUAGUCCUGGCUGUAAACGAUGGACACUAGGUGUGGGAGGUAUCGAAUCCUUCUGUGCCGGAGCUAACGCAUUAAGUGUCCCGCCUGGGGAGUACGUUCGCAAGAAUGAAACUCAAAGGAAUUGACGGGGGCCCGCACAAGCGGUGGAGCAUGUGGUUUAAUUCGAAGCAACGCGAAGAACCUUACCGGGGUUUGACAUCUACCUGCAAGCCUUAGAGAUAGGGUAUUCCCUUCGGGGACGGGUAGACAGGUGCUGCAUGGCUGUCGUCAGCUCGUGUCGUGAGAUGUUGGGUUAAGUCCCGCAACGAGCGCAACCCUCACCCUUAGUUGCCAACAGGUUAAGCUGGGAACUCUAAGGGAACUGCCGGUGAUAAACCGGAGGAGGGUGGGGAUGACGUCAAGUCCUCAUGGCCCUUAUGUCCCGGGCUACACACGUGCUACAAUGGCUGGUACAAAGGGUAUAUGAGCGAUACCGCGAGGUGGAGCUAAUCCCAUAAAGCCGGUCACAGUUCGGAUUGGAGUCUGCAACUCGACUCCAUGAAGUGGGAAUCGCUAGUAAUCGUGGAUCAGCAUGCCACGGUGAAUACGUUCCCGGGCCUUGUACACACCGCCCGU